CAUUAUACAUCUCCUCCUGCCUGCUCGAGUGCUGCAGAAGGAAGCUUUUUGUACACUACACUUUGCAGUAAAUGAUACUAGUUGUUGACUAGCGGUACUUACUGUAGCACAGUGACACAGAUGGCCCCAUCUGGCCCAUCCAGAGGCAUUCCUUCUGAAGUGAAAUGUCUGAAUGUUUCACAAGGGGACAGUAGCACCACCUCACCUGUUUCCUAUUGAAGUUUUAAAGGGAUGUGUGUUCUGGGCAGUGCAAAGAUUGCUGCAUGUACUUCCACAGUAUUCUGUGAGCUCCUUAUGUGCACGUACACACUCAGAUACAUGUUGGUGAGAAAACUCAAAUGAACUUGUUUUCUUCUUUUGCCUCUUCAAUAGAGGACACCCCAUUAAUAUUAACGUACUUGAUAGUAUCUGCUUUCAGAGACAGGAACACUUUUAAUCCUCAGUCUUACUUCAUGUGAGUGAAUACAUAUUUACUUGCCCAGAGUUAACUGGAAUGUUUGUAAUCUGAAUUAUACUGAUGCCUUUUUGGGCAUCACUGUGUGGUCUGUUGGCUGACUUCUUGUCUGGAAGUCUUCAUCUUUACUGUCUUAUCUGUCUGGUACCUUCUGGAAUCAAUUUGCUCUUUAUACCACUUAUAACAUUCUGUGUACAGAACACUGCAGCUAGGACUGCAGGUUCUGGACCAUUUCUCACAUUUAGUAAUGAAUUUUCUGAUUGAAUUCUUUUACAGAUAGCGCUUCAUACAUGCAAAACAGUGCCUGCGAUCUUGGUGGAUUUUUUAUGUAUUGCAUUUAUAAAGCUCUCAGGAGUUGUGUCAUCAUCUGAGGAGUGUAGCUACGAUAGGAAACUGGAACUGGUGGUAUGUAAGAACCCCCUUUGGCCUGUUUGAUGCAACUCUCCACUCACCUGCCAUGUGGGAUGCUCUUGCAACAGGUUUCCCAGAAGUGAUGAUUUCACAUGAGUGAGGACAAAUGAUGUCCUCGGGCAUGACAGGAUGUGCAGUUGGACCACAGAACUCAGCCUACAGUAGAGGUGACGUGAGUCACUCAAAUGGCAGCUACUACUUGCAGCUUUGUGAGUGUUUUUGAUGACAAUAUC